rnacentral:rRNA from 1 species
UACGGGGGGAGCAAGCGUUGUUCGGAUUUACUGGGCGUAAAGGGCGCGUAGGCGGCGCAACAAGUCACUUGUGAAAUCUCCGGGCUUAACCCGGAGCGGCCAAGUGAUACUGUCGUGCUAGAGUGCGGAAGGGGCUACUGGAAUUCUCGGUGUAGCGGUGAAAUGCGUAGAUAUCGAGAGGAACACCUGCGGCGAAGGCGGCAUUCUGGACCGAUAUUGACGCUGAGGAGCGAAAGCCAGGGGAGCAAACGGG